rnacentral:rRNA from 1 species
GGGGAUGGGCUCGCGGCCUAUCAGUUUGUUGGUGAGGUAAUGGCUCACCAAGACGACGACGGGUAGCCGGCCUGAGAGGGCGACCGGCCACACUGGGACUGAGACACGGCCCACACUCCUACGGGAGGCAGCACUGGGGAAUAUUGCACAAUGGGGGAAACCCUGAUGCAGCGACGCAGCGUGCGGGAUGACGGCCUUCGGGUUGUAAACCGCUUUCAGCAGGGAAGAAGCGCAAGUGACGGUACCUGCAGAAGAAGUACCGGCUAACUACGUGCCAGCAGCCGCGGUAAUACGUAGGGUACGAGCGUUGUCCGGAAUUAUUGGGCGUAAAGAGCUCGUAGGUGGUUGGUCACGUCUGCUGUGGAAACGCAACGCUUAACGUUGCGCGUGCAGUGGGUACGGGCUGACUAGAGUGCAGUAGGGGAGUCUGGAAUUCCUGGUGUAGCGGUGAAAUGCGCAGAUAUCAGGAGGAACACCGGUGGCGAAGGCGGGACUCU